rnacentral:rRNA from 1 species
GUCUGCAGCUAUACCACUCUGAACGUACCCAAUCUCGUGGUCAGAAGCAGAGUCAGGCCUGGUUAGUACUGGGAGAAAGCAUGACACUGGCUCUGCAUUCU